rnacentral:lncRNA from 12 species
UGUUGUUCUAUUGGCUGCACUUUUUCUGCUGAGAGGAAUGGCAUUAUGGGUCUCAUAAUGCUGGAGUUUUAAACUGGCUCUUGAUUUCUGAGCCAGCUGAUGAUUUUUUAUUUAUUUUUUUUUCCCUCUGGGUUUUCUGAGGAUGGGUUUUAUGGAAGAUGACAACUCAAACUUGCAUCUUGGAAGUUCAGAAGACAGCUGAAUGGUCAAGAGUGCAUCCAUCACUUCCUUUGACAAAAAGGAUUCAGUUUAUUUUCUGCAUGGCAGGUAGUAACGCACCUGCAUUAAAAGGACUCAGCCCUGAGAAGUGCUGCAAGCUUUGGUGAACUUCAGUUCCACCUCUCUGCAGUAUCAGUGAGGUAGCUGAAUCCCAGAAUAUCAGAACCUGAAAGUUUCUGCUUCUGCUUGGGAUUAAAACAUUAAAAUUCCUCUCCUGCUCUCAUCCAAAUUUUCUCCAGCUGCCUCAACAAGUUGUUCCCCAAGGUUUAAUUAGUACUAAGGGAACAACUGCCUUUGCUGUGUAAUGAAGCAGUUACAGCCCUCCCACCCCCA